rnacentral:rRNA from 1 species
GACGAACGCUGGCGGCGUGCCUAAUACAUGCAAGUAGAACGCUGAAGAGAGGAGCUUGCUCUUCUUGGAUGAGUUGCGAACGGGUGAGUAACGCGUAGGUAACCUGCCUGGUAGCGGGGGAUAACUAUUGGAAACGAUAGCUAAUACCGCAUAAAAUUGAUUAUUGCAUGAUAAUUAAUUGAAAGAUGCAAUUGCAUCACUACCAGAUGGACCUGCGUUGUAUUAGCUAGUUGGUGAGGUAACGGCUCACCAAGGCGACGAUACAUAGCCGACCUGAGAGGGUGAUCGGCCACACUGGGACUGAGACACGGCCCAGACUCCUACGGGAGGCAGCAGUAGGGAAUCUUCGGCAAUGGGGGGAACCCUGACCGAGCAAUCGCCGCGUGAGUGAAGAAGGUUUUCGGAUCGUAAAGCUUCUGUUGUAAAGAGAAAGAAACGGGUGUGAAGAAGUGGAAAAG